rnacentral:rRNA from 1 species
AACCCAUAAAACCAUUCUCAGUUCGGAUUGUAGUCUGCAACUCGACUACAUGAAGUUGGAAUCGCUAGUAAUCGCGAAUCAGCAUGUCGCGGUGAAUACGUUCUCGGGCCUUGUACACACCGCCCGUCACACCACGAGAGUUGAUAACACCCGAAGCCGGUGGCCUAACCGCAAGGAAGGAGCUGUCUAAGGUGGGAUUGAUGAUUGGGGUGAAGUCGUAACAAGGUAUCCCUACGGGAACGUGGGGAUGGAUCACCUCCUUU